AGUUCUGUCAGAGCCAUAUAGAGAGAGAGUUGCGACAACUCCAUUGACUCCAAUGGAACGCUUUUUUUACAGCAAUGGCGGCUCGUGGAGCCUCUCAAUAGUUCCCAGAAGUAGCAGCAAACCGAUGCCGCGCCGUAGAGAUGCAGCAGAACAAACCGUUUGCGACGCACUUUUAAAAGGUGGAGGAUUAGUGCUGCCACUGGACUGUUCUGUGAUGGAGCAUCAGUGAGGAUGCAGACCCAGGUAACUGGCUGAUGGUUCACUGGAAUGCUGACUGGCUGCUGACUGACUUGCUCUGGCUGACUGAGUAGUGUCAUCUGUCCCUGUCUCUCCUCUCUAGCCAUGUCCUCUAUUUCUUCACUGUCACUUUCCCUUCUCUGAGUGUCCUCAUUCUUUUUUUCCUCAACCUUUGAAACUGAUAGAGGCAGAAUACAUGGUCUAGGGGUGCAUCGUGGAGCAGGGCCCUCCUCUUUUUGACCACAGGAUGAUGUACAAAAGAUUGUGGGAAUAGCAUCUGGUCUCAGCCUCCUCUUGAAUUUUUUGGUCAUGACAAAUUGGUUUGCCUCAAAAUGUGCCUGCAGUGACUUGAGUUUAGUUUCCAUUUACAACUUUUUUUUUGUCUACCCACAUACGGUACAUAUCACAUGGUGGUUAAAUGCACAGUUAUAGGUAACACUGAUGACGCCCUGCAAUGUCUCACCAUGAGUCUCAGCUCCCUGGGUUUUGCAAGGCUUUGCUUGUUCCUUAUUUCUAGUAAAUCAUUUUCAAUGUAAAAAAGUGCAAAUAAAUUUAAGUAUAAUUACCUAACAA